GUGUUCGCUUCAGCAGCAUAUAUACCAAAAUUGGAACAAUGCAGAGAAGAUUAACAUGGCCCCUGUGUGAGGAUGACAUGCAAAUUUGUGAAGCAUUCCAUAUUUUU